rnacentral:rRNA from 1 species
UACGUAGGGUGCGAGCGUUGUCCGGAAUUAUUGGGCGUAAAGGGCUCGUAGGCGGUCUGUUGCGUCGGGAGUGAAAACUCAGGGCUUAACCCUGGGCUGGCUUUCGAUACGGGCAGACUAGAGGUAUGCAGGGGAGAACGGAAUUCCUGGUGUAGCGGUGAAAUGCGCAGAUAUCAGGAGGAACACCGGUGGCGAAGGCGGUUCUCUGGGCAUUACCUGACGCUGAGGAGCGAAAGUGUGGGGAGCGAACAGG